AGUGGCGGACGGGUGAGUAACGCGUGAGAAUCUGCCUUGGGGUCGGGGACAACCACUGGAAACGGUGGCUAAUACCGGAUAAGCCGAUUGGUGAAAGAUUUAUUGCCCGAAGAGGAGCUCGCGUCUGAUUAGCUAGUUGGUGAGGUAAGAGCUCACCAAGGCAGCGAUCAGUAGCUGGUCUGAGAGGACUAUCAGCCACACUGGGACUGAGACACGGCCCAGACUCCUACGGGAGGCAGCAGUGGGGAAUUUUCCGCAAUGGGCGAAAGCCUGACGGAGCAAGACCGCGUGAGGGAGGAAGGCUCUUGGGUUGUAAACCUCUUUUCUCAGGGAAGAAGCUCUGACGGUACCUGAGGAAUCAGCCUCGGCUAACUCCGUGCCAGCAGCCGCGGUAAUACGGAGGAGGCAAGCGUUAUCCGGAAUUAUUGGGCGUAAAGCGUCCGCAGGUGGCGAUUCAAGUCUGCUGUCAAAGCACGGGGCUUAACUCCGUAAAGGCAGUGGAAACUGAAUAGCUAGAGUGCCGUAGGGGUAGAGGGAAUUCCCGGUGUAGCGGUGAAAUGCGUAGAGAUCGGGAAGAACAUCGGUGGCGAAAGCGCUCUACUGGACGGCAACUGACACUCAGGGACGAAAGCUAGGGGAGCGAAUGGGAUUAGAUACCCC
rnacentral:rRNA from 1 species